GAUGAACGCUGGCGGCGUGCCUAAUACAUGCAAGUCGAGCGAACGGACGAGAAGCUUGCUUCUCUGAUGUUAGCGGCGGACGGGUGAGUAACACGUGGAUAACCUACCUAUAAGACUGGGAUAACUUCGGGAAACCGGAGCUAAUACCGGAUGAUAUUUUGAACCGCAUGGUUCAAAAGUGAAAGACGGUCUUGCUGUCACUUAUAGAUGGAUCCGCGCUGCAUUAGCUAGUUGUUAAGGUAACGGCUUACCAAGGCAACGAUGCAUAGCCGACCUGAGAGGGUGAUCGGCCACAUUGGAACUGAGACACGGUCCAGACUCCUACGGGAGGCAGCAGUAGGGAAUCUUCCGCAAGGGGCGAAAGCCUGACGGAGCAAGGCCGCGUGAGUGAUGAAGGUCUUCGGAUCGUAAAACUCUGUUAUUAGGGAAGAACAUAUGUGUAAGUAACUGUGCACAUCUUGACGGUACCUAAUCAGAAAGCCACGGCUAACUACGUG
rnacentral:rRNA from 1 species